AUUGAACGCUGGCGGCAUGCCUUACACAUGCAAGUCGAACGGUAACAGGUCUUCGGAUGCUGACGAGUGGCGAACGGGUGAGUAAUACAUCGGAACGUGCCCGAUCGUGGGGGAUAACGAAGCGAAAGCUGUGCUAAUACCGCAUACGAUCUAUGGAUGAAAGCGGGGGACUCGCAAGGGCCUCGCGCGAUUGGAGCGGCCGAUAUCAGAUUAGGUAGUUGGUGGGGUAAAGGCUCACCAAGCCGACGAUCUGUAGCUGGUCUGAAAGGACGACCAGCCACACUGGAACUGAGACACGGUCCAGACUCCUACGGGAGGCAGCAGUGGGGAAUUUUGGACAAUGGGCGCAAGCCUGAUCCAGCAAUGCCGCGUGCAGGAUGAAGGCCUUCGGGUUGUAAACUGCUUUUGUACGGAACGAAAAGGCUCUGGUUAAUACCUGGGGCACAUGACGGUACCGUAAGAAUAAGCACCGGCUAACUACGUGCCAGCCGCCGCCGUAA
rnacentral:rRNA from 1 species